ACUAAGGUGACUGAUUAUAAGUGAUAAAUUGUAAAUUUAUUUAUGAAUUAAUAAAUUCUCUUAGUA
rnacentral:tRNA from 1 species